rnacentral:rRNA from 1 species
UACGUAGGGUCCGAGCGUUGUCCGGAAUUAUUGGGCGUAAAGAGCUCGUAGGCGGCUUGUCGCGUCUGCUGUGAAAUCCCGAGGCUCAACCUCGGGCCUGCAGUGGGUACGGGCAGACUGGAGUGCGGUAGGGGAGAAUGGAAUUCCUGGUGUAGCGGUGGAAUGCGCAGAUAUCAGGAGGAACACCGGUGGCGAAGGCGGGUCUCUGGGCAGUAACUGACGCUGAGGAGCGAAAGCGUGGGGAGCGAACAGG